rnacentral:lncRNA from 1 species
GGGUAGGGGUUGCUCUGCUUGUGUAAGUCCCAUAGUGUGAAGGCCAGAGAACCAAGAGAUGGUCAAGAAGAGAGAGUAAGUGUCCAAUGUCCCAGCUCAAGAAGAGAGAAUGGUGAAUUGCACUCUGAAGAGCUUCCUAAGCUUGUAAGAAAGUGAUUCUGAAAAGCUCAACAUUUUGGUAGAAUGGAGAGAUUUGACAUUGCUUCUGCUCCAAAAGCAAAAGACUUGGCCCAGAAGCUAAAAAUCACCUGCCAUCUUGGAAAUAAUCCCUGGAGGAUCAAGUCCAAGGGGGAGAAGUGGACUGGUCACCCCAGCCGAGGUUAUCUAAGUUCCAUGGCUUACUCCAGACAGGAAGCCCCACAUCCUGCAGCCUCAUUCAUAAUCCAUAAUAGAUGGUGUUCUUGGAUCCCAAGUUGAGAAAAGAAGUUAACUAUGCACAUUUUGGCAAAGAUGCAGACCAGGGUUUGAUCUAAGCAGCUAUCACAUAAAAUAAUAAAGUACAAAUGGAAAUGGCAAAAA